UUCGUAGGCGGUUCGUCGCGUCCGGUGUGAAAGUCCAUCGCUUAACGGUGGAUCCGCGCCGGGUACGGGCGGGCUUGAGUGCGGUAGGGGAGACUGGAAUUCCCGGUGUAACGGUGGAAUGUGUAGAUAUCGGGAAGAACACCAAUGGCGAAGGCAGGUCUCUGGGCCGUUACUGACGCUGAGGAGCGAAAGCGUGGGGAGCGAACA
rnacentral:rRNA from 1 species